rnacentral:rRNA from 1 species
UACGUAGGGUCCGAGCGUUGUCCGGAAUUAUUGGGCGUAAAGGGCUCGUAGGCGGUUUGUCGCGUCGGGAGUGAAAACUCAGGGCUCAACCCUGAGCGUGCUUCCGAUACGGGCAGACUAGAGGUAUGCAGGGGAGAACGGAAUUCCUGGUGUAGCGGUGGAAUGCGCAGAUAUCAGGAGGAACGCCGGUGGCGAAGGCGGUUCUCUGGGCAUGACCUGACGCUGAGGAGCGAAAGCAUGGGGAGCGAACAGG